AAUGGUUGGAUGUGGGGGUUUGCUGGCCUCUUUAAAAAGGGUUCAGCUCCCCUGAAAUGCAUUAGCAGAACGGACCUGUUCAUUGGUGUGAUAACUAUCUACGCUAUUGAAUGUGAGGGGCAGUUCAGCUUUCUAACAGUCCUUGGACAAUUUCAUCAUUAAUGUGACCUCAAAUCAGGUAGGACUACCCGCUGACUUAA
rnacentral:misc_RNA from 1 species